CAAAGGUGGGUGUGUGUCUGCUCAAUUGCUUAAUUGAUGGAUUAAAUGACUUAACAACCAGUUGGUGAGUCCCUCCUUACUCUUCUGUUAUACCCAAUUUUUAUUCUAAGUUCUCUUGUCUUUUUAUUUCUUUUGUUAUAAACCUUUUAGUUAUACACUUACAUGUUUGUAUUUGCAUAUUCCACAAUGAAGAAUACGUAAAAGAUUAUCUUUAUAGCUACACUAAUAAUAUAAUCCAUUUCCUCUGAUUUUUAAAAUAACAAGUAGUUUCGUUUUGGUUUGUUGGAGAUUGGAUUUAGAGCAGCCGACACAAAAUCAUUUGGCAAGUACCAUUGUGUUGGAAAAUUAUUAUUCAUGUG